UCUAAGCAAAAAAAUAGUUUAAACUCCACACUAUCAAAUCUCCAACACCGAAUCAAAUAUUUUCAAAACAAAAUCAAAUCAUUCAAGUAAACAUCUUACCCCCAACUCCCCAAGUAGUUCUUUCGGCCUGAAACCAUUGGAAAAUUCAUCCCCAAAUCGUCAUAUCUUGUCUAUUAUUCAGUUCUAAAAUUCGAUUCAGGUUGGUAUUCUAUAUUUCUAGGUCCCAAGAACUUUCUUUAUCGAUUUUGUACGGUACAGUAAGGGGCAGAGUAAUAAUCACUGUGACUAAUUGAACCCUGCUCCCACUCCACUGCAAACAGUGAUGGGAUAAGAGCCAGCAUCGAGUCCGUUGACUUUCAGCGUUUCAAGAUGUUAAUGUUUCCUCCAUCACUGCAACUCCAAUGGAUGCUCUCAAGUAUCUAAAGCCACUAGCAGGGAAGAUGUUUCCUGAUGCCUCUACUUCUUCAGAUGCAACUACGCAUUCUGUUUGGGAUACUGAAUUCAGUGAUGAAUGAGUGGUGAGAUUAUCACUGUGACAUGAUAUUCUACGCUGGUUGUAUCUUACUCCAUCUCAAUCUAUCCUUUUCAUCUCUAGUGGGCUGAGUCAAGUGCACACUUUUCUAAACUCAGAUAAUGUCACUCAAGACUUCCUCACUUAAGGACAUGGAAAAUCCAGCUCAGAGCCUGCUUACUAGGAAAUUUGAGGCCCACAUAUAAGAUUCUCUUACCAUUUUGUUCUUUUUUGCUUGGCCACUUAUUCAUUAUGCAGAAUGUAAUCUGGAUCCUGUUCUGCAUAAUGAAUAAAAUCUUAGGUGGAUCUCUAUUCCUUUGGAUUUUUGUUCUUUUUUGCUUGGCCUAGAUAUUCUUCUGGUUCAGUUGUUGAAUCUUGCCAUGCAUAUCAAAAAGACAAACUAGUUUAUAUUAUAUGUUACUUGAUUAUUUUCCAGGGAUUGGGGUCCCUAUUUUACUUUCAACAAACAAGACUUGGAUAAAGGGAAUUUGUAAACCUGUCGAAUGUA